rnacentral:rRNA from 1 species
CCUACGGGGGGCAGCAGUGAGGAAUAUUGGUCAAUGGACGAGAGUCUGAACCAGCCAAGUAGCGUGAAGGAUGACUGCCCUAUGGGUUGUAAACUUCUUUUAUAUGGGAAUAAAAUGUUCCACGUGUGGGAUUUUGUAUGUACCAUAUGAAUAAGGAUCGGCUAACUCCGUGCCAGCAGCCGCGGUAAUACGGAGGAUCCGAGCGUUAUCCGGAUUUAUUGGGUUUAAAGGGAGCGUAGGUGGAUUGUUAAGUCAGUUGUGAAAGUUUGCGGCUCAACCGUAAAAUUGCAGUUGAAACUGGCAGUCUUGAGUACAGUAGAGGUGGGCGGAAUUCGUGGUGUAGCGGUGAAAUGCUUAGAUAUCACGAAGAACUCCGAUUGCGAAGGCAGUUCACUGGACUGCAACGGACACUGAGGCUCGAAAGUGUGGGUAUCAAACAGGAUUAGAUACCCCAGUAGUC